rnacentral:rRNA from 1 species
GACGAACGCUGGCGGCGUGCUUAACACAUGCAAGUCGAACGGAAAGGCCCUGCUUUUGUGGGGUGCUCGAGUGGCGAACGGGUGAGUAACACGUGAGUAACCUGCCCUUGACUUUGGGAUAACUUCAGGAAACUGGGGCUAAUACCGGAUAUGAGCUCCUGCUGCAUGGUGGGGGUGGGAAAGUUUCGGCGGUUGGGGAUGGACUCGCGGUUUAUCAGUUUGUUGGUGGGGUAGUGGAUUACCAAGGCUUUGACGGGUAGCCGGCCUGGGAGGGUGACCGGCCCCAUUGGGCCUGGGAUGGGGCCCAGAGUCAUACGGGAGGAAGCAGUGGGGAAUAUUGCACAAUGGGCGGAAGCAUGAUGCAGCAACGCCGGGUGCGGGAUGACGGCUUUCGGGUUGUAACCCGCUUUCGCCUGUGACGAAGCGUGAGUGACGGUAAUGGGUAAAGAAGCACCGGCUAACUACGUG